UACGCAGGGGGCUAGCGUUGCUCGGAAUCACUGGGCGUAAAGGGUGCGUAGGCGGGUCUUUACGUCAGGGGUGAAAUCCUGGAGCUCAACUCCAGAACUGCCUUUGAUACUGAGGAUCUUGAGUUCGGGAGAGGUGAGUGGAACUGCGAGUGUAGAGGUGAAAUUCGUAGAUAUUCGCAAGAACACCAGUGGCGAAGGCGGCUCACUGGCCCGAUACUGACGCUGAGGCACGAAAGCGUGGGGAGCAAACAGG
rnacentral:rRNA from 1 species